rnacentral:rRNA from 1 species
CAUGCCGUAAACGAUGAGUGCUAAGUGUUGGGGGGUUUCCGCCCCUCAGUGCUGCAGCUAACGCAUUAAGCACUCCGCCUGGGGAGUACGAUCGCAAGAUUGAAACUCAAAGGAAUUGACGGGGGCCCGCACAAGCGGUGGAGCAUGUGGUUUAAUUCGAAGCAACGCGAAGAACCUUACCAGGUCUUGACAUACCAUGAAAAGCUGAGAGAUCAGUCUUUCCCUUCGGGGACAUGGAUACAGGUGG